UACGAAGGGGGCUAGCGUUGCUCGGAAUGAGCUGGGCGUAAAGGGCGCGUAGGCGGAUGGCUUUGUCGGGCCGUGAAAUUCCAGGGCUCAACCUUGGGGCUGCGUUCGAGACGGGCGAUCUUGAGUUCGGAAGAGGGUCGUGGAAUUCCCAGUGUAGAGGUGAAAUUCGUAGAUAUUGGGAAGAACACCGGUGGCGAAAGGCG
rnacentral:rRNA from 1 species